UACAGAGCACGUAAUAGAUCCUUAAGCCAAUGCUGUCCAUGAAGGAAGAGGGACAUCCAGCAACGUUCUGCUCCAUCCUUAUAUCUUCCCGAUGUACGCUCAUCUAGCUUCUCUGCUUUUGCUGCUACAACUUGUCUUACUUUACCGACGAGUUGGAACACUUCAGUGGUCACUACCCUUUGCUGUUACACACCUGCAGUUAAUCACCACGGGAUAAUGCCCAGGUAAUGCAGAGGAGACGUCGAGAAGAUGGAUUUUCUCAUCUUUAAAAAUCGUCACAAGUCUCCGUCGGAUGUUGCCCCUUCUGCUGGUGCGAACGAAACUCGGUGGAGUGAAUGGAUAAUGCGCCAACAAAAUACUUCUGGCAAUGGAAAACGGAAAAUGACAAUCGCCACCGUCACCGAGACUCAUCAUCAAAGUGGAUCAUCGUAUUGUUGGAAUUAUUGCGUUUGUGUUAGUGUUAGUUAACCCGUUGUCUGCCACGCCUUUGUUCUCCCAGCACGGUCUGCGUGCGCUGGUCGGCCUCCUGGUUUUCAUGCCGCGGGGUCGGAGUGUCGCACCAGUCCAAAAUUUGCCGCAAGGCGCCUGUUAUCAGGCAAUGCACCAGUUC